rnacentral:rRNA from 1 species
GCCUACGGGGCGCAGCAGUGGGGAAUAUUGCACAAUGGGGGAAACCCUGAUGCAGCGACGCCGCGUGGGUGAAGGAGUAUUUCGGUAUGUAAAGCCCUAUCGGCAGGGAAGAAGCAAGACGGUACCUGACUAAGAAGCCCCGGCUAACUACGUGCCAGCAGCCGCGGUAAUACGUAGGGGGCAAGCGUUAUCCGGAUUUACUGGGUGUAAAGGGAGCGCAGACGGCAGUGCAAGUCUGGAGUGAAAGCCCGGGGCUCAACCCCGGGACUGCUUUGGAAACUGCAUAGCUGGAGUGCUGGAGAGGG